rnacentral:rRNA from 1 species
CGUUCCCGGGUCUUGUACACACCGCCCGUCACACCAUGGGAGCGGGUUUUACCAGAAGUAGUUAGCCUAACCGCAAGGAGGGCGAUUACCACGGUAGGAUUCGUGACUGGGGUG